rnacentral:rRNA from 1 species
GAUGAACGCUGGCGGCGUGCUUAACACAUGCAAGUCGAGCGAACGGACGAGAAGCUUUCUUCUCUGAUGUUAGCGGCGGCCGGGUGAGUACCCCUUGGAUAACCUACCUCUACGCCUGGGAUAACUUCGGGAAACCGGACCUAAUACCGGAUAACAUUUUGAUCCGCAUGGUUCAAAAGUGAAUGACGUUCUUGCUGUCACUUAUGGAUGGAUCCGCGCUGCAUUAGCUAGUUGGUAAGGUAACGGCUUACCAAGGCAACGAGGUAUAGCCGACCUGAGCGGGUGAUGGGGGACACUGGAACUGGGACGCGGUACAGACUCGUACGGGAGGCAGCGGUGGGGUGGGGGGCGCUAUGGGAGGAGGCCUGGCGGGGCGACGCCACGUGAGGUAAGAGAGUCUUCGGAUCGGGUUACGCUGUUAUUAGGGAAGAACAGAUGUGUAAGUAACUGUGCGCAGCGUGACGGUACCUAGUCAGAAAGCCACGGCUAACUUCGGG